rnacentral:tRNA from 1 species
GAUGUGGCUCAGUGGUAGAGCACCUGCUUAGCAUGCACACAAGGCCUGGGUUCCAGCCCCAGUAUC